GAUUGUAAAUUAUAAGGUUUAAUUUACCACAAAACAAUAUGUAAAGGGGUGACAAAAUAUAUAAUGAAUUAUAAAAAAAACAUUUAAGAAUUAUAAGUACUAUACAAGCAUUAUUUCAAGUCUUCCCUCUAUGAUGACCAUUACAGUAUGUAGAGUCACUAAUGAACACUUUUGAACACUAUAAAACAUAACUUAGUAAUAUCCAUUGAAUUAUACAUAACAGUAUAGUUAUCAGCAGUAAAAAAAAUAUAUACACACACAAAGUGAGAUUCACUGCAAAAACUGGAUUAGUACACUACCAUGUUCUGUGUUAUAGUAGUUUUAUGAAACUGAUUUUCAAUUUUUAAUUAAAAAAGAGAAAGAAAUGGCUGAAUUGACAUAUAAUGGCUGAUUUGCAUUGUCAGUAUGCACACAUAAUUGGGACACCACUGACCUCAUUUUCAGAUUACUUAACGAACUGGUUAAAAUUAACUCAAGGAAGAACAUUUGCUAUGAUAUCCAAAGAUUAGGAAGCCAUUGGUCGUUGCUGACACUGUCUUGGCAACAAUAAUUUUGUGGAAUAAAUUGUAAACAAAACACAACCUCUUGCAUUGUACAAUCUCUUGUAUGCCACAAUCUUCUCUCACAGGGUUAACAUUUCCUUGCAUAUCAUAAUCAGUCUUAUAAGAUAGUUUCUUGCAUAAUACAAUCUUUUGUAUAGAACAAUUUUCUGACACAGAGAAAAGUAUCCUGCAUAGCAUUGUCUCUCUCAUACAAUCUCUCGCAGAACAUAAAAUCUCCAACCUCCCACCUAAUUACAGUUCCUGCGUAGAUAUGUCAGAAGGAGGUGUUAAUGAGGUUCCAGAUGUACCAAAGAAACAAAAAGUGUGAACAUAAAGUCAUACACACAAUUUGUCUGUAAAUAGACCAAUAAAC